rnacentral:rRNA from 1 species
CUGGCGGCAUGCUUUACACAUGCAAGUCGAACGGCAGCACGGGUGCUUGCACCUGGUGGCGAGUGGCGGACGGGUGAGUAAUACAUCGGAACGUGUCCAGAAGAGGGGGAUAACGCAUCGAAAGAUGUGCUAAUACCGCAUAUUCUGUGAGCAGGAAAGCAGGGGAUCGCAAGACCUUGCGCUGAUUGAGCGGCCGAUAUCAGAUUAGCUAGUUGGUGAGGUAAAGGCUCACCAAGGCGACGAUCUGUAGCGGGUCUGAGAGGAUGAUCCGCCACACUGGAACUGAGACACGGUCCAGACUCCUACGGGAGGCAGCAGUGGGGAAUUUUGGACAAUGGGCGCAAGCCUGAUCCAGCCAUGCCGCGUGAGUGAAGAAGGCCUUCGGGUUGUAAAGCUCUUUCGGCCGGGAAGAAAUCGCACAGGUUAAUACCCUGUGUGGAUGACGGUACCGGAAUAAGAAGCACCGGCUAACUACGUG